rnacentral:rRNA from 1 species
GCGCUGUAGCAAUACAGAGCGGCAGACGGGUGAGUAACGCGUGGGAAUCUAUCCAUCCUUACGGAACAACUCCGGGAAACUGGAGCUAAUACCGUAUACGCCCUACGGGGGAAAGAUUUAUCGAGGAUGGAUGAGCCCGCGUUGGAUUAGCUAGUUGGUGGGGUAAAGGCCUACCAAGGCGACGAUCCAUAGCUGGUCUGAGAGGAUGAUCAGCCACAUUGGGACUGAGACACGGCCCAAACUCCUACGGGAGGCAGCAGUGGGGAAUAUUGGACAAUGGGCGCAAGCCUGAUCCAGCCAUGCCGCGUGAGUGAUGAAGGCCCUAGGGUUGUAAAGCUCUUUCACCGGAGAAGAUAAUGACGGUAUCCGGAGAAGAAGCCCCGGCUAACUUCGUGCCAGCAGCCGCG